rnacentral:rRNA from 1 species
GGGUCAGUAGGUUGGUCGUGCCACCGGUACGUACUGGUCUCACUGAUUCCUCCUUCCUGAAGAACCGUAAUGCCAUUAGUUGGGUGUUGCGGGGAAACAGGACUGUUACUUUGAAAAAAUUAGAGUGUUUAAAGCAAGCUAACGCUUGAAUACAUUAGCAUGGAAUAAUGAAAUAGGACGAUCGAUCCUAUUUUGUUGGUUUCUAGGAUUGACGUA